UAGUGAUAGCUGGUUGUUCAAGAAAAGAGUUUUAGCUCUGCCUUAAGCUUUUAUAUUAUGUCAAACAAACCCCAAGCUUAAGAGUUAUUCAAAUUAGGCACAGCUUAUUUGAAACAGGAUACAACCUCCGCCACUGGGUAAAAGGGCAAUAAAAAUAAAGUGGGCCCAAAAGCAGCCACCUUUAAGAAAGCGUCAAAGCUUAACUAUUUAACCCCUAAUUCCUAAAACAUCCACUAACCCCUAAUCCCUACUGAACCCCUUUAUAUUAAUAUAAAAACGACUAUGCUAGAACUAGUAACAAGAACUUGCCAUUCUCCACAAUGUAAGUAUAGACCAAAACGGACACUCCAUUGGUAAUCAACGUAAAUGCAAAACCAUAACAACACAAAACCAGAAAACCUUACGGCACCACACGUUACCCUAACACUAGAACAUUAUAGGAAAGAUUAAAAGAAAGAGAAGGAACUCGGCAAAUUUUAGCCCCGCCUGUUUACCAAAAACAUCGCCUCCUGACUAAGCAUAAGAGGUCCAGCCUGCCCAGUGACAACAUUCAACGGCCGCGGUAUUCUGACCGUGCGAAGGUAGCAUAAUCACUUGUUCUCUAAAUAAGGACUAGUAUCAACGGCAUCACGAGGGCUACACUGUCUCCUUUCUCCAAUCAGUGAAACUGAUCCCCCCGUGAAGAAGCGGGGAUUCAAUUAUAAGACGAGAAGACCCCAUGGAGCUUUAAACCCAACAUACACCCACCCCGCUAAAUCAACUAACCUCGAGGGCCUGUACGUCGGUUUUAGGCUGGGGGGACCACGGAGCAAAAUCAAACCUCCACAACAAAUGGGCUAAACCCUUAUCCGCGAUUUACAAAUCCAAGAAUCAUCAUAAUGAUGUUUAAUGACCCGAUAAUUCGAUCAAUGAACCAAGUUACCCUGGGGAUAACAGCGCAAUCCACUCCAAGAGCCCAUAUCGACAAGUGGGUUUACGACCUCGAUGUUGGAUCAGGGUAUCCCAGUGGUGCAGCCGCUACUAAAGGUUCGUUUGUUCAACGAUUAAAACCCU
rnacentral:rRNA from 1 species